rnacentral:rRNA from 1 species
GAGGAUGAUCAGCCACAUUGGGACUGAGACACGGCCCAAACUCCUACGGGAGGCAGCAGUGGGGAAUCUUGCACAAUGGAGGAAACUCUGAUGCAGCGAUGCCGCGUGAGUGAAGAAGGCCUUUGGGUUGUAAAGCUCUUUCGUCGGGGAAGAAAAUGACUGUACCCGAAUAAGAAGGUCCGGCUAACUUCGUGCCAGCAGCCGCGGUAAUACGAAGGGACCUAGCGUAGUUCGGAAUUACUGGGCUUAAAGAGUUCGUAGGUGGUUGAAAAAGUUAGUGGUGAAAUCCCAGAGCUUAACUCUGGAACUGCCAUUAAAACUUUUCAGCUAGAGUAUGAUAGAGGAAAGCA